rnacentral:lncRNA from 1 species
AUUCCCGCAUACUGCAAAUUUGAGUAGGUGCUCGGAGAAACUAUUAAUUCCAAAAGCUCGAGUUCUUGAAAAGAUACAACUAAUUCAUUUAAAACAUACAGAUGUAACAUCCACGAACUUCAAUUGUGACUCGAUCCAAUUCGGUUUCCCGCCGUUUCGAACUUGACUCGACUCAACCCAACCUGCUACCAGGAUGUUGGCCCUUUUAAGUUUACAAGUUAAUUUGCUCUCACACCAUGCUAGGAUGAUUGCUAUUUCCUAUCUUGAAAUGAAACCAAUGGUGGUAGGAAAAAUUAAGAGCAUUGGUUAAUAUUUGGUUCUACAACACUAAUUAAAACAGGAAGAUUUAGUCAUCUCUAUUCCUACUCCAUAUAUUCCACUACUAACAUGCAUGUGAUUACAACUAA